rnacentral:rRNA from 1 species
UAGAGUUUGAUCCUGGCUCAGGACGAACGCUGGCGGCGUGCUUAACACAUGCAAGUCGAGGGGGCUUUGGGAGCAAUCCUGAAGUCACCGGCGAACGGGUGCGUAACACGUGAGCGAUCUAUCGCAGCUGCGGGGGAUAGCCGGUCCAACGGCCGGGUAAUACCGCAUACGCUCUUUUGGGGGCAUCCCUGGGAGAGGAAAGCUGGUUCCGCAAGGGGCUGGCACAGUGCGAGGGGCUCGCGGCCUAUCAGCUAGUUGGCGAGGUCACGGCUCACCAAGGCGACGACGGGUAGCUGGUCUGAGAGGAUGGCCAGCCACAUUGGGACUGAGAUACGGCCCAGACUCCUACGGGAGGCAGCAGUGGGGAAUCUUGCGCAAUGGGCGAUAAGCCUGACGCAGCGACGCCGCGUGGGGGAGGAAGGGCUUCGGCUCGUAAACCCCUGUUGCUCGGGACGAAGGCUCCCUUUUGAAGGGGCGUGACGGUACCGAGCGAGGAAGCACCGGCUAACUCCGUGCCAGCAGCCGCGGUAAU